GAAAUCUAUCAGCUGUCAAAAAUAUUGAUCUAAGCAAUCGAUGUUUUGAAAUCGUUUUCCGGUUUAGUUUCUUGUCAAAAACAAUGUCAUAUCAUUAAUCUUCUAGGCAAAACGAUGUUUCUGGGACUUGGGGGAUACAAUCAGGACGCGUGAUUAGAUCUAUUGCAGUUUGCUAAUCAGCUGAUUACGAAAUCGAUUACAAAAUGGCGUCCUAGUGAACUUUUGUUUACGUUUGAAGGGAAAUAACUCGAGCGGUAUUCAUAAAAUAUGUCUUUCAGUACCGUAAAGGCAUGGCGUCAGGAAUUUCGACAAAACUAGGGCAGGGCGCCAAAUUUUUUUCCCAAAAAGGGCAGGGCGUCGAGAAAUCGCGGCAGGGCGCCAUUACACGCCAAAACCACCUGUAGGAAACACUAAUUACAUACACUCUGCAGCUAAAGAUUUUAAAACAUUAGAUUUUAUAAACCAUCCUGGAUUUUUACCCAAUUUUGACAGAAGCUUCUUAUAGUACUUAAGUCAAAAGAUAGUAUCUAGAGGAAAAUUUUAAUAUUUUUUUCCUCAUUUUUGUUGAGCCUGCGAUUAACAGCAAAAGUAGGCGAGACUAUUUGUUCUGCAAAACUCUUACAAUUGUAAUAGCUUAAUACAUCGAUAACCCAUCUCCAGCUAGGGUUGAAUUGAAUCACAUGAAUACGUAUUCAAUGAGGUCCAAAUAUUCACUAGCAAGUGCACAACUCAUCAACCUUGUUUCGCAGCUUAUUUAACAAAAUAGAACCAGAUUGGCUG
rnacentral:lncRNA from 1 species